UGGCGGACGGGUGAGUAACGCGUGGGUAACCUGCCUCAUACAGGGGGGUAACAGUUAGAAAUGACUGCUAAUACCGCAUAAGACCACAGUACCGCAUGGUACAGGGGUAAAAACUCCGGUGGUAUGAGAUGGACCCGCGUCUGAUUAGGUAGUUGGUGGGGUAACGGCCUACCAAGCCGACGAUCAGUAGCCGACCUGAGAGGGUGACCGGCCACAUUGGGACUGAGACACGGCCCAA
rnacentral:rRNA from 1 species